UACAGAAGGUGCGAGCGUUAUUCAUAGUUACUGGGCGUAAAGGGUAUGUAGGUAGAGCAUUAAAUUUUGCUAUAAAUUCUGGAGUCAUAACUUCAGAACCAGGCUUUUAGAUUGCUGCUCUUUGAGUUAAUAACGGGUCGGAGGAACUUUUAGCGAAAAGGUAAAAUUUUUAAAUUCUAGAAGGAACACCAAAGGCAAAGGCAUCCCUCUAGUGUUAACUGACGCUGAGGUACGGAAGCGUAGGGAUCAAACAGG
rnacentral:rRNA from 1 species